UACAGAGGGUGCGAGCGUUGUUCGGAAUUACUGGGCGUAAAGGGCUCGUAGGUGGCCAACUAAGUCAGACGUGAAAUCCGGCUUAACCGGGGAACUGCGUCUGAUACUGGAUGGCUAGAGUUUGGGAGAGGGAUGCGGAAUUCCAGGUGUAGCGGUGAAAUGCGUAGAUAUCUGGAGGAACACCGGUGGCGAAGGCGGCAUCCUGGACCAACACUGACGCUGAGGAGCGAAAGCCAGGGGAGCAAACGGG
rnacentral:rRNA from 1 species